GGCUCAGAACGAACGCUGGCGGCGUGCUUAAGACAUGCAAGUCGAACGGUAAGGCCCCCUUCGGGGGGUACACGAGCGGCGCACGGGUGAGUAACACGUGGGUAAUCUACCUUCGGGUCUGGGACAACUCCGGGAAACUGGAGCUAAUACCGGAUGAGACCACGAGGUCCUCGGACUUCGCGGGAAAAGAUGGCCUCUCCUUGGAAGCUAUCGCCUGUAGAUGAGCCCGCGCCCCAUUAGCUAGUUGGUGAGGUAACGGCUCACCAAGGCAACGAUGGGUAGCUGGUCUGAGAGGACGACCAGCCACACUGGAACUGAGACACGGUCCAGACUCCUACGGGAGGCAGCAGUCGGGAAUUUUGGGCAAUGGGCGAAAGCCUGACCCAGCAACGCCGCGUGAGGGAUGAAGGCCCUCGGGUCGUAAACCUCUGUCGGGAGGGAAGAACGAUCGCAAGGUGAAUAAUCUUGGGGUCUGACGGUACCUCCAAAGGAAGCGCCGGCUAACUCCGUGCCAGCAGCCGCGGUAAUACGGAGGGCGCAAGCGUUGUUCGGAAUCAUUGGGCGUAAAGCGCGUGUAGGCGGCUUGGCAAGUCGGGUGUGAAAUCCCGGGGCUCAACCCCGGAACUGCAUUCGAUACUGCCUCGCUAGAGUCCCGGAGAGGAGGGCGGAAUUCCCGGUGUAGAGGUGAAAUUCGUAGAUAUCGGGAGGAACACCAGUGGCGAAGGCGGCCCUCUGGACGGUGACUGACGCUGAGAUGCGAAAGCGUGGGGAGCAAACAGGAUUAGAUACCCUGGUAGUCCACGCUGUAAACGUUGGGUGCUAGGUGUCGCGGGUAUUGACCCCUGCGGUGCCGACGCUAACGCAUUUAGCACCCCGCCUGGGGAGUACGGUCGCAAGGCUAAAACU
rnacentral:rRNA from 1 species